GUUGAACGCUGGCGGCAUGCUUUACACAUGCAAGUCGAGCGGCAGCGCGGGGGCAACCCUGGCGGCGAGCGGCGAACGGGUGAGUAAUACAUCGGAACGUACCCCGUAGUGGGGGAUAACCCGGCGAAAGCCGGACUAAUACCGCAUAUGCUCUACGGAGGAAAGUGGGGGAUUCAGCAGGCAACUGAGGAACCUCACGCUAUGGGAGCGGCCGAUGUCCGAUUAGCUUGNGGCGGGGUAAAGGCCCACCAAGGCGACGAUCGGUAGCUGGUCUGAGAGGAUGAUCAGCCACACUGGGACUGAGACACGGCCCAGACUCCUACGGGAGGCAGCAGUGGGAAUUUUGGACAAUGGGGGCAACCCUGAUCCAGCCAUGCCGCGUGCGGGAAGAAGGCCU
rnacentral:rRNA from 1 species